rnacentral:rRNA from 1 species
GAUUAGCCAUGCUAGUCGCACGAGUUCAGACUCGUGGCGAAUAGCUCAGUAACACGUGGCCAAACUACCCUUCGGAACACAAUACCCUCGGGAAACUGAGGCUAAUAGUGUAUACCAUACCACCGCUGGAAUGAGUGGUAUGCCAAACGCUCCGGCGCCGAAGGAUGUGGCUGCGGCCGAUUAGGUAGACGGUGGGGUAACGGCCCACCGUGCCAAUAAUCGGUAUGGGUCAUGAGAGUGAGAACCCAGAGACGGAAUCUGAGACAAGAUUCCGGGCCCUACGGGGCGCAGCAGGCGCGAAACCUUUACACUGCACGACAGUGCGAUAGGGGGAUCCCAAGUGCACAGGCAUAGCGCCUGUGCUUUUCGGUACCCUAAGGCGGUACCAGAAUAAGGGCUGGGCAAGACCGGUGCCAGCCGCCGCGGUAAUACCGGCAGCCCAAGUGAUGGCCGAUCUUAUUGGGCCUAAAGCGUCCGUAGCUGGCCGCGCAAGUCCAUCGGGAAAUCCACCUGCUCAACAGGUGGGCGCCCGGUAGAAACUGCGUGGCUUGGGACCGGAAGGCGCGACGGGUACGUCCGGGGUAGGAGUGAAAUCCCGUAAUCCUGGACGGACCGCC